UCACACUUCAAUUCUCGGCCUCCCCUCUCUCUCUCUAUACUCUUCUUUUCCUCUAUUGAUGUCCAUUGAAGAAAGCUUAGAGAAGCUUCAUCAAACACUACUAUGAGAUAAUCCACCAUCCAAUCCAAUCAAAUACUAUCAUAUCUCAUCAAAUUCAAGAAGCUAGAGCUAAGAUCAAAGUUGGAGCAAAGUCUUGAUCACCUUUUAAAUCCUUGAGUAAGUGAUCUUAGAUUAUUUAUUUGAUCAUAUUAAUGAUAUGUGAGUGAGUAUAUGAUCAUGAUUGAGCAAGAAAUCACCCAAUUAUUUUUAUGAAACUUUCGAAAAUUAGGAGCUUGAAACCUACGAAUUUUGUUGUUUAUUUUCUUGACUUGGCUUGAGUUAUAUGAUGAUGGAUUUGAGUUUAUGAGAUGAUCUAGAUGAUUAAUGAUGGAUGAGAUUGAAGCUUGAGGUUGAGAAGUGAAAAAUGAAAAAUGUUAGUUUGAGGAAGAAGAUGAUAUAUAUGUGUUUCUAUAUGUGAUUUUGUUAUAUGAUGUUGUAUUUGAAGUAUUUGUAGGUGGGUUAUAUGAUUUCUUGAGCAUGCUAUGAUGUUAAGUGAUGGUUUAGAUUGAUGAUUAGAAGUGAUGAAAUGAGUUUUGGGAUGAGUUGUUGUUGAGAAUUAUGAUGUUAUAUUCAAGUUAGAGAUAUUAUUAAGAUAUAUAGUUUUAAAUACAAUUGGAGAAUUUCGUAGGCCUACUGACCUACUGUGAUCGAUGGUUUUCGAUGUCUAAUAGUUUGAAAAUUUUAUAGCAAGUUUCUACAUGAGUUUGAGUACCCUGGUAAAAUUUCAAGCUAUUUCAAUUUCGUUUGAUAUUUCUUUAAAAUGCAAAACCUAAACUGCACAUUAACCGAGAAUUUCAGAGAACAGUGGAAGAGUAUUCAUUUCAGUAGCUUCCUGUGUGAUUAGUUUCCAAUUUUUAUGGUAUUAACUUAUUGUGUUAUCUAGAUAUCCACCAAAUUUGAGCCAGUUUGACAACGUUUACUAUUUUCAAAAAUAGUUUUCGUUGCUCAAAACUGCCGAAUAUGGUAGAUCGGUGGUAAAAACGUCAUAUCUCUCAAACCACUUGGAUUUUCGCCUCUAUUUUUUUAUAUGAAACUAGACUCGAAGAUCUUUCUUUUGGUAUGAUCUCGAGUCCAGGAGAUGUCGAGUCAGAACAGUUAAAUUUUGAAGUUGAACCAGUGUAAAAACAGAGCAUGUUUUAAUGAUGUUUGAUUGUGAUUCUUAUGUGCCUUAUGUGAUUGUGUUGCCUAUGUGUUUGAAUUUUCACUAAAUUAUUUUAGUGAAUUUAAAUCUCUUGAUUUAAAUUUUAAUAUUUAAGGUUGGGACUAUUUAUUUUAAAUGAGGUCCGUUCUUUUAUUUAAUUUAUUGAUGGAACUUUAAAAAUGAAAACAAAUUUUGGGAUUAAACCCUCAUUUUUAUAUAUUUCAAGGCUUUUUGAGUAUGGAUUUUAAAUGGUUAAAAUGUUUUAUUUCAUCUCAAUGGAUUUUAAAAUGUUUUAUUAUUUAUAAAUGAAUAAUGGAAUUUCUUAUUUAUUUACAUGAAAAAAAAAUGAAAUGUAUAGAAUGUUAUAAAAUGGUGCAUGAUUUCUUUUAUGUUCAUGUGAACUUGUGAUUUUAAUGAUACUAAACUUGAGGAUUUUAUUUCUUUCUGUUUAUUGUUUACGUGAUUACGUGAUAUUAUGUGGUUAGUCACGAGGUUAUGUUGGUUUUCGAUUGUCUUUAAUGGAACGAAUUAUGGAUGCUAGAACCCUAAAACACUAAAAGAAAGAUCGAGUAAGAUAUUGUUGGUGUCUUAACUCAAGAAUUAGUUUUCAAGUAUUUAUUCAUUAAAUUUUGAAAACCCGGCGUAUGAAUCAUAGAUGUUAGACAUCAAACAUUAAGAUUAGUUCAAGAGACCUAUUAAGAUAGAAUUUCUUGUAGGCUUUGUGGACCAGGGGAUUAGCCUGCUUUCCCAAGACAGGUUUAUAUGUGAUUAUGAUCUUCAGGCUUUGCCUAACCAGGUGGGCUUACUUUCCAAAUGUAAAAGUAUGAUUGAGUUAUUAAGCUCUAAAAUGUUUCAAUGAAAUGCAAAUUGUUUAUUAAUAAAUGAAAACUGUUUAUCCAAUAAAAUGUUUAUGUGCACUCUGCUCUGUUUAAGGCUCGCAAUAUGAUCGAUCGAGGUUCUCUUAUGCCUAACACGUUAUUUGAGAAUUGUGUACACUGUUAGUGUCGGUGGGUUGAUCUCCAUCGGGCACUAAUUCAUGUAAGAGGCGUUAUAAGGGUGCUCGCUGGAUGUGUUCCGAGUCAUGUAUCAUGUAAGGCCUGCCUGGGUAGCGUCCCGAGUCAAUCAACUUGUCUGGUUACGCCUCAGGCAAGUGCAAAUGGGAGAAAUGGAUCCGGUCGGUGGCUAAAAGGUCCGGGAUCACAGCGAGUAACAGAAAGGGAGUGUGACAUGUGCGCACAAAUGAAAGAAAUUAUUUUAACAUGCUUAGAAGUUCUUUCAAUUUAAAACCUUCUAAGUCAUGUCAAGUAUGAUUGGAUAAACUGUCUUUACGAAAAUAUGAAAUGUUUCAGAAAAUGCAUGCCCACUAAGUACAUUAGUACUUAGCCCAAAAAUACUUUCAAAUGUUUUCAGGUUGGCUGGCUGGUGCUGACGGGACGGAGCUGAGGCUAGGGUUCAACUUCCUAUUAAGACUUCCGCUGUAGCAAUAAAUAAUAUCUAGUCUUUUGUUUUCCCAACUUAAGACUUUCAUAUUAAAUUUCAAAUGACAUCUUGAUUGAGCUUAGACUCUUAACUCCUAGAUUUAUGCUAAUGAAUGUUGGUUGUCAGAAGCAUGAAACAAAACUUGUGAUCCAAAGGGGCAUAGCCCGACUUGCAAUCUUAUUCGGUUUUAACAAGGUUUUUCCCUUGUUUAUUUCUAUGAAUUAGUUGCACCUCGAUUAUAUUUAUUCAUUCAAGAAUUGGGGUGUGACAGAAUGGUAUCAGAGCAUGAGUUUUCUUUCAUGUCUCUGAUAACCAUAAGCUUUUUGAUGUCGAGUCUAGAAUAGUAUCUCUAGACUUCUAAGAAUGUCAGUAGCCCUCAGCUCGCCGUCACACUGCCGCAACCAAGGUACGAUAAUAGUUUCAAAAAUAUACAUAUAUGUAUUUCAAAUGUUAUGAAUGUUUCCAAAAAAGAAAAAAAUGUGCGCUUUCAAUGAAUGAUGCUAUGUGAAUUGCUUACCGCUUUCCAUAUGCUAUAAGUUAUGAAUUGUUCUUUCAUAUUGUUAUUUUGGGUCUCCGACCCAUAUAACCAGAUAAGUGUCGUGUUUGGGACUACCCGAACCCAUAACGACUCAAUGAAUGUUAUUUCGUGUUUGGGACUACCCGAGCCCUUAACGAAUCAAUGUAUGUAUGGUUGAGUUAGAUUCAUUGAAUCUUUCCGGCACAAGCAAAGUUUUCAUGAAAGGGACUUUAAAUGUCCAUAUAUGUUAAGGUUUCAAAAGAAACAGAAUUAUGAAUGAAUGAAUGAAUGAAUGAGAAAGCUUUAUGUUGUCGUUUUAGGCUAGCUGCCUAUACGAUUAGAAUGAUGGGUCCUCUUACAAACUGUUUAAGUACCACCCAAGAAUGCCUUGAGAAUGUUAAUCGUGAUAGCACCGCUUGAUCGAUUUAAGUAAGGUUUGGUAAAAUAGAAAUGUUUAACAUAGAUAUGUUACAACAUAGAGGCAAUGCCUUAAGACUAAGGAUUCACUUGAGCUAUUUCAAUAGCGGUAAGAUUAAGUUUUUCACAUAAGAACUCAUGUUGUUUAUGAUUAUGAUGUUAGUCAUGAUAGCUUUGCUAGAACGGCAUAGAAUGGACUUUCAUGGUAUCAGUAACUUAUGAUGAAGUACUUGUUAGUAAGUGUUUUAAGUUAGAAGUUUGACCAGAGCCUUACAUGAAUAAGAAGUUGACAUGAUUGGGGGCGAAGCUCCCAUUUGACUGAGUGAUUCGUUUUGUUGGGUCUGGCCAGCCCACAUGACUAAGAUCUCGGUGAUUGUCAAUCAAGAUUUUUGAUCUCGAGGUAGAGCAUCAUCCCAAUAUAUAGACUCGCACUAUAUAGUUGUCACAAUAGAAUAUCAUUUUAUCACGAUAAGUAUAGUAGCGAUUAGAAUUACUCAGUUUGUCAUUAGUUUUCAACCAUUAGAACGAUGCACUAAGUAUCAAGCUGUCUUUUGGUAAUCAAAGCGAUUUUUGGAAUCCCAAGCGAAGAACUGGAGCAGGUAGUGAGUAUGAUGAAGUUUUCAACCAGCUGUCAAUAUGUGGUCCACAUGGUGGACAAUAAUGAAAAACGCAUAAAGGAGUUCGUAAAUGAAUCGCGGCAUUAGAUUUUCAAUUCCCCUAGUAAACUAGGGAGAUAUUAUGAAGGAACAAGCAAUGAACGAGACUCUCACCACCGAGUCACUACAACAAUUGGAGAAGGAAAAAGUUCACGCACAAACAAGAUAUGUACACCACCUCAAGAUGGAGGUAAAAAAAAAAAUGAAAUGGAAUGAAAGAAAUAGAGGAAACCCAUUCCCGAGUGGAAGUGGGAGCACAUCAACAUGGACUUCGUAGUGAGCCUACUGAAGUCAGCAUGUGGAAACACUGCAAUUUGGGUCAUAGUGGACCGAUUAUCAAAGUCAGCGCACUUUCUGCCAAUUCAAAUGACUUUUGGAUUGGAGAAACUUGCAAAGUUUUAUGUCAAAGAGAUAGUACGCCUUCACGGUGUACCUGUAUCUAUCACGUUAGAUCGUGACACCAGAUUCACAUCGCGUUUCUGGAAAAGUUUACAAGAAGCAAUGGGCACUCAGCUGAACAUCAGCACAACGUACCACCCUCAGACUGACGGACAGUCAGAAAGAACGAUUCAGAUUCUAGAAGAUAUGUUGCGAACGAUUGUCGCAGACAAAGGUAGAAGUUAGGAGGAUUUGUUACCUCUCGUAGAAUUUGCUUAUAACAAUAGUUAUCAAGCAACAUUUGGAAUAAUCCAGAUGAGGCCUUGUAUGGCCGAAAAUGUAGUUCACCACUUUACUAAGAUGAAGUGGGUGAAAGAAAGCUGUUAGGUCCUGAACUGGUCCAACAGAUGGUUGAGAAGGUCGACCACAUCAAGCAAAGAAUUAAAGAAGCUCGAGAUAGACAAAUGUCCUACGCCGAUAAACGCCGAUCGGAGUUAGAAUUCAAUGUUGGGGAUCGAGUUCUCCUCAAAGUUCCUCCCUCAAAAGGGAGUUAUACGUUUCAGAAAGAGGGGCAAGUUACGGCCCCGUUAUAUAGGACCUUUUGAGAUCCUAGAUAAGAUAGGCCCUAUGCCUAUAGGUUGGCAUUGCCGCCCAGUAUUGGAGACAUACACAAUGUGUUUCAUGUCUCACAGUUAAGAAAGUAUGUGUUUAAUCAAAAACAUUUGAUUAAGCCAGAUAAAGUAGUCCUAGUCAGGACUUAAGUUAUGAAGAAAAACCAGUCCAGAUACUUGAUCGCAAGGUUCAAGUUUUACGAGGCAAUAAUAUUGUUCUCGUCAUGUAGUGGAACCAUUACAGGAUGGAAAAGGCCACGAAAGAGAUGAAUGAAAUAAAAGACUAGUAUCCCCAGCUAGAUUAUCAGAUAUGCAAUUCCGAGGACGGAAUUUUUUUUAAGGAGGGAGGAAUGUAAUACCCCGUUUCCUCCAGCUAAGUUUAGAAUUCAUUUUGAACUUAGAUUAUGAUGAUUUACGCCGGAGAAUUUGAAAUAAAUUUAUUUUAAUUCCAACAAAAAUGAUUUACAAAAACAUUUGUAAAUUUAGUUAUUAAAUUUUUAUGCAUUGCAUAUUUAUUUAAUUUAGCAUUCAAGUAUUUUCACGAGCUAUUUAUUUAAGCGUACCCUGAACGAUUAUUACAGUUUUCAUAGUACAAACCGGAAGACUUUUUAUUUUAUUCAAUCACCUAAUUUCUCCACCUAAUUUCUCCACCUACUCUUCCACAUCCACCUACUCUCCCACCACUACUCCUACCUCCCCACCACUACAUUCCAUAUUACACUUAGCAAGACAUAGCACACUUCAUUUCUUCCUCACACUUCAUUCUCGGCCUCCCCUCUCUCUCUCUAUAUUCUCUUUUCCUCCAUUGAUGUCCAUUGAAGAAAGCUUAGAGAAGCUUCAUCAAACACUACUAUGAGAUAAUCCACCAUCCAAUCCAAUCAAAUACUAUCAUAUCUCAUCAAAUUCAAAGAAGCUAGAGCUAAGAUCAAAGUUGGAGCAAAGUCUUGAUCACCUUUUAAAUCCUUGAGUAAGUGAUCUUAGAUUAUUUAUUUGAUCAUAUUAAUGAUAUGUGAGUGAGUAUAUGAUCAUGAUUGAGCAAGAAAAUCACCCAAUUUAUUUUUAUGAAACUUUCGAAAAUUAGGAGCUUGAAACCCUACGAAUUUUGUUGUUUAUUUUCUUGACUUGGCUUGAGUUAUAUGAUGAUGGAUUUGAGUUUAUGAGAUGAUCUAGAUGAUUAAUGAUGGAUGAGAUUGAAGCUUGAGGUUGAGAAGUGAAAAAUGAAAAAUGUUAGUUUGAGGAAGAAGAUGAUUAUAUAUGUGUUUCUAUAUGUGAUUUUUGUUAUAUGAUGUUGAUUUGAGUGAGUUCUUGAGCAUGCUAUGAUGUUAAGUGAUGGUUUAGAUUGAUGAUUAGAAGUGAUGAAAUGAGUUUUGGGAUGAGUUGUUGUUGAGAAUUAUGAUGUUAUAUUCAAGUUAGAGAUAUUAUUAAGAUAUAUAAGUUUUAAAUACAAAUUGGAGAAUUUCGUAGGCCUACUGACCUACUGUGAUCGAUGGUUUUUCGAUGUCUAAUAGUUUUGAAAAUUUUAUAGCAAGUUUCUACAUGAGUCUUGAGUACCCUGGUAAAAUUUCAAGCUAUUUCAACUUCGUUUGAUAUUUCUUUAAAAUGCAAAACCUAAACUGCACAUUAUUACCGAGAAUUUCAGAGAACAGGGGAACGAGUUAUUCAUUUAAGUAGCUUCCUAUGUGAUCUAGCUUUCCAACUUUUUAUGGUAUCAAUCUUAUUGUGUUAUCUAGAUAUCCACCAAAGUUGAGCCCAGUUUGACAACGUUUACUAUUUUCAAAAAUCAAAACCUUCGAUUGCACAAAACUGCCGAAAUGGUAGAUCGUGGUAAAAACGUCAUAUCUCUCAAACCACUUGGAGCUUUCGACUCUACUUUUUUUAUAUGAAACUAGACUCGAAGAUCUUUCUUUUGGUAUGAGUCUCGAGUCCAGGAGAUGUCGGAGUCAGAACAGAUUAAAUUUUGAAGUUGAACCAGUGUAAAAACAGAGCAUGUUUUAAUGAUGUUUGAUUGUGAUUCUUAUGUGCCUUAUGUGAUUGUGUUGCCUAUGUGUUUGAAUUUUCACUAAAUUAUUUUAGUGAAUUUAAAUCUCUUGAUUUAAAUUUUAAUAUUUAAGGUUGGGACUAUUUAUUUUAAAUGAGGUCCGUUCUUUUAUUUAAUUUAUUGAUGGACUUUAAAAAUGAAAACAAAUUUUGGGAUUAAACCCUCAUUUUUAUAAUAUUUCAAGGCUUUUUGAGUAUGGAUUUUAAAUGGUUAAAAUGUUUUAUUUCAUCUCAAUGGAUUUUAAAAUGUUUUAUUAUUUAUAAAUGAAUAAUGGAAUUUCUUAUUUAUUUACAUGAAAAAAAAAUGAAAUGUAUAGAAUGUUAUAAAAUGGUGCAUGAUUUCUUUUAUGUUCAUGUGAACUUGUGAUUUUAAUGAUACUAAACUUGAGGAUUUUAUUUCUUUCUGUUUAUUGUUUACGUGAUUACGUGAUAUUAUGUGGUUAGUCACGAGGUUAUGAUGGUUUUCGAUUGUCUUUAAUGGAACGAAUUAUGGAUGCUAGAACCCUAAAACACUAAAAGAAAAUCGAGUAAGGAUAUUGUUGGUGUCCUUAACUCAAGAAAUUUAGUUUUCAAGUAUUUAUUCAUUAAAUUUGAAAACCCGGCGUGAUGAAUCAAGUAUGUUUAGUACAUCCAUAAAUACAUUAAGAUUAGUUUCAUGAGACCUAUUAAGGAUAGAAUUUCUUGUAGGCUUUGUGACCAGGGGGAUUAGCGCUGCUUUCCCAAGACAGGUUUAUAUGUGAUUAUGAUCUUCAGGCUUUGCCUAACCAGGUGGGCUUACUUUCCAAAUGUACAAAGUAUGAUUGAGUUAUUAAGCUCUAAAUGUUUCAAUGAAAUGCAAAUUGUUUAUUUAAUGAAAUGAAAACUGUUUAUCCAAUAAAAUGUUUAUGUGCACUCUGCUCUGUUUAAGGCUCGCAAUUCAUGGAUCGAUCGAGGUUCUCUUAUGGCCUAACACGUUAUUUGAGAAUUGUGUACACUUGUUAGUUGUUUCGGUGGGUUGAUCUCCAUCGGGCACUAAUUCAUGUAAGAGGCGUUAUAAGGGUGCUUGGCUGGAUGUGUUCCGGAGCAUGUAUCAUGUAAGGCCUGC
rnacentral:lncRNA from 1 species